GAUGAACGCUGGCGGCGUGCUUAACACAUGCAAGUCGAACGAUGAAGCCCAGCUUGCUGGGUGGAUUAGUGGCGAACGGGUGAGUAACACGUGAGUAACCUGCCCUUAACUCUGGGAUAAGCCUGGGAAACUGGGUCUAAUACCGGAUAGGAGCGUCCACCGCAUGGGGGGUGUUGGAAAGAUUUAUCGGUUUUGGAUGGACUCGCGGCCUAUCAGCUUGUUGGUGAGGUAAUGGCUCACCAAGGCGACGACGGGUAGCCGGCCUGAGAGGGUGACCGGCCACCCUGGGACUGAGACACGGCCCAGACUCCUACGGGAGGCAGCAGUGGGGAAUAUUGCACAAUGGGCGCAAGCCUGAUGCAGCGACGCCGCGUGAGGGAUGAAGGCCUUCGGGUUGUAAACCUCUUUCAGUAGGGAAGAAGCGAAAGUGACGGUACCUGCAGAAGAAGCACCGGCUAACUACGUG
rnacentral:rRNA from 1 species